ensembl:lncRNA
GUUUUUCAAGUCAUUACAUUGUAGAGAUACAGGAAAAGUAGUUUAGGUCAUAAAGUAGUCGUAUUUUAAAGUUAAACGCUGGAUAUAAUGGAUUCAUGAGUUGUAAACAUCCUUUUCGCUGUGUGUUCAUCUGUAAAUAGGUUCUACUCUCCCCUCCAUGGAGCGGUCUAGAAGAGGAAGGUUCUCAGGCGGCCAGCUGGCCUAAGGAAAUGUUCCAUGUAGAGGCUGGGCUGCAGACCCAGCCCUCCACGCCCUGACUUUAGUUUACAUCCCAACAUGACCACCUGAGAACCUGAAUAUUUGAAUAGCAAUGCCUAGUAUUUGGAUAUUUGUGUCCAGGUCCAUAUGUGUUGGUUUAAAUAGUGGAACACUGUGGCCUCAGCUGGCCUACUGAGUGAGCAGAACGUCUGCGUUAAAACAGGUCUCAGUUGGAUGGAUUUCCAAAGUGGAAUGAAGGGCAGGUGAAGCGUUUGCUAAGUAAGGUGAAAGAUUUUAAUGUUUGCCCUUCAAAUUAGUUCCUCAGCUUUGUUAUACCUUUUUCUUCUAUGCUUUCUGAAUGAAUGGUAGUUUUCCCAGACUCCUGCCUGUGAAUGGAGGUAGUUUAGGGUUUAACCAGAACCCUGGCUGUGAAUGGAGGUAUUUUAGGGUUUACAGAUUUCGCUCCCUUUAAACCUGCUACAUUGUGAUCCUUACAGAAAGCUACAGCCAGCGAUCUUAACAAGAAAGGCUGAUAACGAAUCUCCUUGUUGAAGUCCUUAUCAUGUCAAAGGAGAAGAGAUAGUACAGUUUGUGAGCCACUCGGUUAAUAAAUGUUUGGCUGAAUCCAACCUUUUUUAAAGCUGUACAUAAACUAAGCAUUUCUCUUCUAGAUAAACAACAACAACCCUCUGUGAUUCAGGACUCUAGGAUGUCGGGCUGAUGUAUUCAAUAAUCUGACAGAUCCUCACCUUGUCUCAGUAGGCUGAUUUCCGUCUCCAAACCUAACAGGUUCUGAUCACCCCUCCAUGGAGCGGUCUAAAAGGAACACUGUGGCCUCAGCUGGCCUACUGAGUGUGCAGAACAUCUGCAUUAAAACAGGUCUCAGUUGGAGGGAUUUCCAGAGUGGAUUGAUGGGCAGGUCAACAUGUUGGCUCAGUAUGUUGAAAAACUAAAACGUACUACAAGACCUGCCUCAUGUUGAAGGCGAGGACAUCAGACUGUGAGCCAUGCAGCUGCACAUGACGGAUCUAUGGAUGCUGGACUGUGUUUUUUGAGUCGUACCUCUCCUCUUCUGAGCUGUGGCCAUCUUUUGGUUCAGGAGGUUGACCCAUAGAGCCAUCAAUCUUCAAGGAGACACAGCUGGGUCCAGGGGAGUCUGCUCGCUGCUGCUGCUGCUCUGGGCUUCAACACAACACACAAACACAGUUUUUACUCAGAUUAAUGAUGGUGUCAUGAUGUAUCACUGCUGAGUUCUGAGAUGAACAAAGGUCACAGAUAGUUGGAGAUCUGCUCUGACUAUUGGAUGUGAAGCCUGGACAGACAAAACUUUAUCAACAGUUUGAAGGUCCACAAGUAUUUAGUUUUCUCCUCUUUUCUCCUUGUUAUGUCUGAUCAAUAGAGUCUGAUAACAACCAAUUGUUCUGGUUCAUCAUUUGUUUGAAACUCCUACCUCUCUUCUUUGGAGGGGCCUCCAUCUUUAAGGACAGGAAAUUCAUUCUUGCACAGGUCACUCCUCAUGAGGACAUCACUGGGUCCAGGUUGGUCUGCUGUCUCCGGUUGGACUCUUCUAGAUAUUUUUAGAUUCAAAUGUUUUAUUGCUUUUCAGGUAAUUACAUGGUAGAGUUAAACUAAAAUUAGUUUAGGGCAUAAAGUGUUCCUAUUUUAAAGUUAAAGAGCACCUAUUAUGCUUUUUCAACUGUUAUGACCUAUAAACGUUGUUAUAAUGAUUUAUAGUCAUGUUUAACCAUACUUAAGUGUCAAAUAAUGACGUACAUGCAUUUAGACGUAUUCCCUGCUGACCGUCUGGGGUGGUUAUGCAGAGCGCUAAACACUAGGGAAGCCAGUCGCGAUUCACUUGUUCAAAUUUCCGGGAUUUAUCUACCCUGAACACUCCUUCCCUUUUUUAAAGAUGUAAAUAAACUAAGCUGUU